rnacentral:misc_RNA from 1 species
UCCGAUUUGACAUCGGCAGUCUCUCUAGAGUGCCCAACUGAAUGAUGGCAACUAAAGACAGGGGUUGCGCUCGUUGCCGGACUUAACCGAACAUCUCACGACACGAGCUGACGACAGCCAUGCAGCACUUGUGUCCUCUGUCCCCGAAGGGCCCAAUCCUGUUUCCAGAAAAGUUCAGAGGCAUGUCAAGGCCAGGUAAGGUUUUGCGCGUUGCUUCGAAUUGAACCACAUAAUCCACCGCUUGUGCGGGUCCCCGUCAAUUUCUUUGAGUUUUAAUCUUGCGACCGUACUCCCCAGGCGGGAUACUUAACGCGUUAGCUAGACUACGGCCGGGGUCAAUACCAGCCACAGUGAGUAUCCAUAGUUUAGGGCGUGGACUAC